rnacentral:rRNA from 1 species
AUUGAACGCUGGCGGCAGGCCUAACACAUGCAAGUCGAGCGAGCGGCGGACGGGUGUGUAAUGUCUGGGAAACUGCCUGAUGGAGGGGGAUAACUACUGGAAACGGUAGCUAAUACCGCAUACCAUCAGAUGUGCCCAAAUGGGAUUAGCUAGUAGGUGGGGUAACGGCUUACCUAGGCGACGAUCCCUAGCUGGUCUGAGAGGAUGACCAGCCACACUGGAACUGAGACACGGUCCAGACGCCCACGGUAGGCACGAGUGGGGGAUAUUGCAAAAUGGGCGCAAGCCGGAUGCAGCCGUGCCGGGUGUGUGAAGAAGGCCUUCGGGUUGUAAAGCACGUUCAGCGGUGAGGGGUUAGCCGCAGAAGAAGCACCGGCUAACUCCGUGCCAGCAGCCGCGGUAAUUC